rnacentral:lncRNA from 1 species
UUCUAGAGGUCUUGGGCUCAGUUUCCAGGACACACAUAGUGACUUACAGCCAUCUCUUAACUCCGAUUCCAGGGACAUGAAUUGUACUACUUUUUGGAUGACCCUUAAUGGAAAGUAUGAAAAUGUUGUCAAAAUAUCCCUUUUUUUUUUUUUUUUUUUUGCUAAAUUUUAUGAGGCAUCCCCAUGUAAAAGAAGUUCAAACAAAGUCUGAUGGAUUUAACGUUGUCCUAAUAGAAAUUAUAAUGUCCCUGCUUGAAGGCAUUUUAAGAUAGAAGAUAUUCACAGCAAGUGAAUCAGCCUUAUAAGCAACCAGAUGUUUUCUUACUAUAUGAAAGGGCUUGACAUGGUAGUAGGGUAAAGAGAAGCCAGAAACUCUAUUAGACCUGGUCUGAUACUUGCCCCCUUUCCCUAUGGGUGACAGUCUUGCCAUUUCCUGUUGCUGUCCAAAGGAUAGCUGCACACACGUGUGGUCCCGAGACCUUUUCUGCAGUCUGCUAUGCGCGUUUCACACACACGAGUACGUGAAAAGAAUGGCAUUGUCACAGAUCGUUUCUGAUAGAUGCAGGUUUGACACUUUAAGCAUAUGCCUGCCUUUUUUAAAUUAUUACUUAUGCGCAACUGCUGAAAAUUGGUGUCAUGCCAUAGGUUGAAAGUAGGAGGUGAUUCGUCACACAGAAUGUCUAGAAGCCAGCAGUGGAACGGGCCACUGGAAAUGGGGUUCUGUUUCUGGAGUAAGGAGAAAGGGGGGGGGAGAUAGGAAAAAAUGCAGUUCAGAAGACUUGACUGAACACCAAGAUUCAUGCCACAGGUCCGUUCUAAUAAUACUCGCAGGCGCCCUUCCACAGCUGGCGUGCUCGGCCUCCACCUUCCCCCACUCCUCUCUCUCACAGUGCUCACGCGCACACGCGCACACACACACACCUAAUCCUUUAAGUUGCUUUGAAACUAAGAUCAAGAGAGGUUAAUAUGGUUGUCUUGACAACAGCAGGUCAGACCUGGAAAGCGAGUUGGCCCUGUGCCAGGGUCUUGUGUUCUCUUGUCUCAUGUCACAGCAGAGACACACUAAUGUAUGGCACAUGAACUACAUGGAUACACUUCUCUAAUAGAAAGUUGAACAUAAAUAUUUCAAGGUCUCCUCCGGCCCCUCCCAUCAGUGGUCGAAUGCACCGAUUCGUUGUUGUAUGUUCCCUUGGCCACUGUUUCUUUGCUUGUGUAAUUUUUUAGUGUGUGUGCACAUGCCCAUACCAUCAUUGUGUGAGUACAUGUAGGUGCAUGCUAUGUGGAUAAUUUUUUUGACUAGUUUUUUUUUCAUAUACCUGGUUUGUGUAAACACGAGUAGACUACUUUUUACAGACGUGCACCUUACACUUGGCAAGUGGGACAGGCCCGCUGCUCACCCUCCCCUCUCUGCUUCAUUUGAUUCUCUUCCAUUCCUGUAUUCACUGACCACUGCAGGCUACCUUCAAGACGUUUCUAUUCCAAAAUUAAAAGUGUACAAAAAUAAUACCAAGCUAUUUAAAAUGUGUGAAGGAGUCGCUCUGUGAUAGAAUGCAUUGGCUGAAAGAGCUGAACUGCAUGGGGAAGGAUUUUCAGGGCAUUUUACAAACCUCUUCAGUGUCGUUUGUUAACUUGCAUCUUUGUUCAUGUUAGAGGUGUUUGGGUUUCCUCCGGUUGACCUUAACUGGACUAGGAAGACACUAAGGUCUCAGGUAUCUCUAAACUUAAAUCAGGUUAAGGCUUCACUUGAAGUUAGAUGUCAGACGGUUAUCUGUUUUCCCUGUGGACUGAAAGCCAGGUCUGAGGGUAUCAUGUGCACGCAGAAAUAAACCAGAGCUCUCAGUCAUCCGUGACUGUUUACGCGUAGGAAAGAACAUGUAUUCGUUUUGCAGUUGGCAUGGAUACAACCAGUAAUGAGAAAUGUCAAGAGUUCAAGUAUUUAUGAUUAGUUGGCUCUAAGCACCUCUAGAUUCAGUCUUGGAUCAUGUGGCUUUUCCAUUAAAAAAAAAAAAAAAAAAAACAUAGGUUCUGACUAGCCAUGUGUGUACACAGUUCUAGCCCCCCGCCAGGCAGUUAUGGAUGCUAGUGUACACAGUAAUGCCUCCCCGUGCCUAGCAGGCACAUGUGGUAGUUACGUCAGUCAGUCACACACUUCUCAUUUGCUCUGGCAGACAAUGAGCACUUUUAAUUUUUUUUUUCAAUAUGAUCAAACCCUGGUGCUGAAAUGCUUUCUUUGAUAAUUAUUGCAUUUUACAAUUUUAUCAAUAGUUAAUAUCUAAGUACACAAGAAUUGUCUAAGGAUAAAAACUCUUAAUCCUGUUUACUCUAAUAAAUACUUUGAAAUGCUG